GUGAUUGUAGCUCAGUGGUAGAGCACUUGCCUUGGAUGCAUGAGACACUGGGUUUGAUCCUCAGCACCACA
rfam:Ictidomys tridecemlineatus contig015518, whole genome shotgun sequence.